GAUGGCGUGCCUUUUGUAGAAUGAACCGGCGAGUUACGAUUUGAUGCAAGGUUAAGCAGUAAAUGUGGAGCCGUAGCGAAAGCGAGUCUGAAUAGGGCGUUUAGUAUUUGGUCGUAGACCCGAAACCAGGUGAUCUACCCUUGGUCAGGUUGAAGUUCAGGUAACACUGAAUGGAGGACCGAACCGACUUACGUUGAAAAGUGAGCGGAUGAACUGAGGGUAGCGGAGAAAUUCCAAUCGAACCUGGAGAUAGCUGGUUCUCUCCGAAAUAGCUUUAGGGCUAGCCUCAAGUGAUGAUUAUUGGAGGUAGAGCACUGUUUGGACGAGGGGCCCCUCUCGGGUUACCGAAUUCAGACAAACUCCGAAUGCCAAUUAAUUUAACUUGGGAGUCAGAACAUGGGUGAUAAGGUCCGUGUUCGAAAGGGAAACAGCCCAGACCACCAGCUAAGGUCCCAAAAUAUAUGUUAAGUGGAAAAGGAUGUGGCGUUGCCCAGACAACUAGGAUGUUGGCUUAGAAGCAGCCAUCAUUUAAAGAGUGCGUAAUAGCUCACUAGUCGAGUGACACUGCGCCGAAAAUGUACCGGGGCUAAACAUAUUACCGAAGCUGUGGAUUGUCCUUUGGACAAUGGUAGGAGAGCGUUCUAAGGGCGUUGAAGCAUGAUCGUAAGGACAUGUGGAGCGCUUAGAAGUGAGAAUGCCGGUGUGAGUAGCGAAAGACGGGUGAGAAUCCCGUCCACCGAUUGACUAAGGUUUCCAGAGGAAGGCUCGUCCGCUCUGGGUUAGUCGGGUCCUAAGCUGAGGCCGACAGGCGUAGGCGAUGGAUAACAGGUUGAUAUUCCUGUACCACCUAUAAUCGUUUUAAUCGAUGGGGGGACGCAGUAGGAUAGGCGAAGCGUGCGAUUGGAUUGCACGUCUAAGCAGUAAGGCUGAGUAUUAGGCAAAUCCGGUACUCGUUAAGGCUGAGCUGUGAUGGGGAGAAGACAUUG
rnacentral:rRNA from 1 species